rnacentral:misc_RNA from 1 species
GAAAUGCGAUAAGUAAUGUGAAUUGCAGAAUUCAGUGAAUCAUCGAAUCUUUGAACGCACAUUGCGCCCGCCAGCAUUCUGGCGGGCAUGCCUGUCCGAGCGUCAUUUCAACCCUCAGGGCCCCUUCGGGGGCGCUGGUGUUGGGGAUCGGCCCGCCUCCGGGCGGCGCCGUCCCCGAAAUACAGUGGCGGUCUCGCUGCAGCCUCCCCUGCGUAGUAGCAUACACUCGCAUGCGGAGCGCGGCGCGGCCACGCCGUGAAACCCCCCACUUCUGAACGUUGACCUCGGAUCAGGUAGGAAUACCCGCUGAACUUAA